AUCCGUUUUUAAGAUAAGCGGUAUUGCCUGCUCAAUGAUAAAUUAAAUAGCCGCAGUAAUCUGACUGUGCUAAGGUAGCGUAAUCAUUAGCUUCUUAAUUAGAGGCAAGUAUGAAAGGUGAAUACCAAGAGGUAAGUUUUGUCUUUUUUUAUUGAAUUUUAAUUAUUAAUAAAAAUGUUAAUAUAUAAUCCUGGGACGAGAAGACCCUAGAAAUUUUUAUAUUUUAUAUUUAGUUGGGGUGAUUACAGAAUAAGAGAACAUUUGUUUAGAUAAAUGGAAAAUUACUCUAGGGAUAACAGCAUAAUUUAAUUGGAGAGUUCUUAUCAGUAAUUAAGUUUAUGACCUCGAUGUUGAAUUAAACUAUAUUAAGGUGAAGAAGCUUUAUAUUACUAGUCUGUUCGACUAUUUGAAGUUUACA
rnacentral:rRNA from 1 species